GAGUUUGAUCCUGGCUCAGGACGAACGCUGGCGGCGCGCUUAACACAUGCAAGUCGUACGGGGGUCCUUCGGGGCUUCAGUGGCGAACGGGUGCGUAACACGUGAGCAAUCUGCCCUUGUGCGGGGGAUAACCAGAGGAAACUCUGGCUAAUACCGCAUGAAAUCUUUUGGCUUCAUGGCUGAGGGAUCAAAGCUGCUGCAAGGCAGCGCGCAGGGAGGAGCUCGCGGCGUAUCAGCUAGUUGGUGAGGUAACGGCUCACCAAGGCGAUGACGCGUAGGGGGUCUGAGAGUAUGGCCCCCCACAUUGGGACUGAGAUACGGCCCAGACUCCUACGGGAGGCAGCAGUGGGGAAUCUUGCGCAAUGGCCGAAAGGCUGACGCAGCGACGCCGCGUGCGGGAGGACGCUUUUCGGAGUGUAAACCGCUGUCGGGUGGGACGAAGGUCCGGGGGAGGAAAUGCUCUCGGGAUGACGGUACCGCCAAAGGAAGCACCGGCUAACUCCGUGCCAGCAGCCGCGGUAAUACGGAGGGUGCGAGCGUUGUUCGGAAUUAUUGGGCGUAAAGCGCACGUAGGCGGCUUUGUAAGUCUCACUGUGAAAGCCCGGGGCUCAACCCCGGGACUGCAGGGGAUACUGCGAGGCUGGAGACAAGCAGAGGUUGGUAGAAUUCCGGGUGUAGCGGUGGAAUGCGUAGAGAUCCGGAGGAAUACCAGAGGCGAAGGCGGCCAACUGGGCUUGUUCUGACGCUGAGGUGCGAAAGCGUGGGGAGCGAACAGGAUUAGAUACUCCUGGUAGUCCGCGCCGUAAACGAUGGGCACUAGAUGCCGGAGGGAACGACCCCCUCGGUGUCGA
rnacentral:rRNA from 1 species